rnacentral:tRNA from 1 species
GCCCACAUGGCUCAGUCGGUUAGAGCGCGUCCUUGGUAAGGACGAGGUCCCCGGUUCAAUUCCGGGUGUGGGCU